rnacentral:lncRNA from 1 species
UAUUUAUUUUUUUAGCCAGCUAGCAAAAAAAAUGAAGGGGAAAAGGAAGGAAGUCUUAAAGGAGUGAACUUAACAUUUUGAGUUAGAAGCUGAACAUUGCAAGUGUGGAGGUUGGCAGCAUGUUGGUUUCCUUUGCAAGAGAUGGGUGAGCUAUAAUUUCAGGGUGUGUUUCAGGGAGUCUUCAGUGUUAGACAUGGCGUAUCCUGCUGGCUGCGAGGCCGAGGGAGGGUGCCAGGGCCCUGAGGUGGGGUGCGAGGCAUUUAACCCGCUGUACUGGUUGUUUUUUGCUUCCACUCUGAACUGCUGGAAGUUUCCUUAUGGUCCAGGUCCUAUAUUGCUGGUACACCUGCCAGCGACAGCCUCACCUGUAACUUGUUUUCCUUCUGGAACAGCAGGUCCUAAAGCUGUGGCUGCUGCAAGUCACGGAUACAGCCUGUAG